UACAUAGGGUGCUAGCGUUAAUCGGAAUUACUGGGCGUAAAGGGUGUGUAGGUGGUUGAAGUAAGUCAGAUGUAAAAACCCCGGGCUUAACCUGGGAAUGUCGUUCGAAACUGCUUAGCUAGAGUACUAUAGAGGAUAGUGGAAUUUCCAGUGUAGCAGUGAAAUGCGUAGAUAUUGGAAGGAACACCAGUGGCGAAGGCGACUAUCUGGAUAGAUACUGACACUGAAACACGAAAGCAUGGGUAGCAAACAGG
rnacentral:rRNA from 1 species